rnacentral:lncRNA from 1 species
CAAAAAGUGUUAUGGGAGCUAAGCAGAAGCAGCAACUGCUUGAAAAAAGAUUUUACAGAAAAGGUGGUAUCUGAGAUGGAUCUUGAGUGAGGGACAGGAUUUCAUGAAGAGGCAUAACUAAGGAUUGGUGAACUGUAAGAAUUCCCCCAUAUGAAGGGAGAAGCACAGGGUGAAAAAGAGAAAAGAAGAAAGAUGGUUGGGGCCACAUUCUUUCAACAAAUACUGAACACCUAUCAAGUGCCCAGCACAGAACACUUACAGACCCUAAAGCCACCCCAAAAGUGAUAAGCAAGCUUCCGAAAAAGAUGUCUGCAGAAUACAAAUCCUCCACCGUAUCCUGUCCGUUGCAUCCCCUCCCACCUGCUACCACUUCUAUCCACUUUACCGAUAUGGUCACGAUGAGCGCUACAAAAUUGCUGCCAAAUAAUGUUGUGAACUACUUGUCAUGGGAUAACCAAAAUUAAACCUGGAAUCUCAGAAGAAACAAAUUGUUUGAAGAAGUUGGAUGUGCUUUAAAAUUUUUAAAUUUUUCAUUCAACUAAAACUUUGUGAACUGUUUCUUGGUUGUGGUCUUCUCUAAAUUGUAAUCUUUGGCAUUCACUUCCAAAGUAUCCCCCACUAAACUUCAUAACAUUUAUUGUGUCUCUUCAUUAUUAAACUUUGAUGAAUUUACAGAGUGUCUUUUGAAAUUAUGUUCUUGAGAAAGGUAAGUUCCCUAAAAA